rnacentral:lncRNA from 1 species
CUUGCUAUAACAUCUUUUACUAUAUUUACAUUGAGUUUGAUCGAGCUGUGUAGACCCUUAGGAGCUUUUCAUGUGGUUAAAUUAAGAUAUUCACUUGCACACAUCUACUACACCAUUCAUCACCAAUCAUUAAAAUUGCUAAAAAUAUUAUCACUCACUGUCCCGAAUAUUGUUAUUCUCUCUCUCUAAAAAGACUCAAUGCAGAAGAGGCAUGGGUUAUGCAAAAAUAUGCGAGGAAAUAAAAAGGGGCAAGUGCCCGGAACCUCAAAAAAGAAAGAAAAAGAGUGAGACAAGAGGUAAAAAUGGACAAGUGUCUGAAGUAGAAUUAGGGGUACAAAGAUGCCCACUUGAGCGGAAAAAAUGGACAAGUGUCCGACAGUAGAAUUAGGGGUAUCUACUACCCACCUGAAAAAAAAGAUAGCCCAUGUUCUCCCAAGGCA